GUAUCAGAAUGACGAUAAAUGAAGAUUUUUUUGUACCAGCCGCCUAGUUCGCCGAGUUGAGAUCAAUCGCCACGGCCAGGGACCGCCGAGCGUUUAACCGCCGCAAAUCCGGUCACGGCGGCCGCGUUUUAGAACAGAGAUCAAAAUGCAUAAUUACGGCUUCAAUUGGUGACCAUGAAAAUAAAUGAAAUAAACAUAUAAAUGUUAAACAAAAUUUCAUUCAAGUAAUUAAAUUAAAAAAAAAAAAUAUAUAUAUAUAUAUAUAUAUAUAGCGGAACAACACUCCUCAUCAAAUUUAGAAGAAGAAAAUACUCUUCAUUAAUUCAUCAAUAUAUGAGGAACAUAGAUAAAUAUGGUGGGAUCCAUAUGUUCUUAGUUUGACAAAAAAUUCAACUUAAUUGGUAUCAGUUUUGAAGAACAACAAAUUCAUCAUCAUUUUUUUCCUAAACUGUCUAGUGAUUUUUUGAACAUUAGGUUUUUUCACUAUUUUUCAUGCUUACAACCAUUGUAACUUGUGACUUGUGGCUAGAGAAGACUUGCUCCUGCUGUGAAUAUGGAUUUUAUAGUAGCUUGUUGAGUUUAUGCAUUCCUCUGUGCAUCCAUAUUAUACGAAAGAAAUAGAUUCCAUUAGGUAUGCUAUGGAAAUCAUUUACAGUAAAAGUGUAUAUUGACCAUUUCUUUCAUCUAUGGCGUUAAUCCAUUCAUUAAGAUACGUCUCAAGUUGUUUGUUUGUUAGCCCACUCAUUUGAGUCAAGAGAUUCAUACAAAAUACAUGUUUCUAAGUUGUCUUCAUCAUAGUUUUAUAUACUUUACAUGAACACACAUUAUUUGGAACAAAAAAUGAGAGCCUUAAAGCAUUAAGCCUGAUGCUUCUUGCUAAACCAAUCCAGCACCUUUCCUCGGCAUGUCUCCAACUUUGGUUUCAGGUUCUUCCCUUAGUAUGACACUUUAACCGCAUUCCAGUGGUUGCUUCUCGUCUUAAUCCUCUGAUACUUUUAAAGAGUUUCUAUUUGGUUGGUUGCAUUCAAUGUUAAACCAACUUAAUCAUAAUCACCGAGACGGUUCAACUUAGAUCUAUAUUUUUUUGAUAAAAUGUUAAUGGAUUAAAUAAUAAAAAAUACGUAUUUACAAGAUAGUCAAUAAUAAAUGUUUAACGAACAUAAAUCAAAUGCUAAUGGGCUCCUCCAUGAAUUAUGGACGAGCAUUAGAAUAAGCACUACAACUUUGGUUUUUCAAAGUAUAUUGUCGACCUAAUAAUUCUGCUCAAACCGUUUUGUUAAUCACUGAAAAAUUGGUUGACAAACCAUAUACUUGCUUGUGCUUUCUUUUGUUUCCUAUGUUUCACUACUGACAUAUUAUCUAGGGACAAAAUACAACAAGUUUAAAAAAUAGAUUCAAAAUCAUAACAAAAAUAUAAGAAAACAUAAAAUAUCCAUAAGUCAAAAUAUCAAAUAUCAAACAUAAGUUUCAACAUUAAAAACACAUUUGUUCAAUAUAUUAGAAAUAAAAAAUAAGCUAAUCAUCAAAUAGCUCAUUUUAAAAUUUAGAUCAUUUAGUGAGAUGUUGGCAAACUCCAAGAAUCCUACAUCUUCCAUAGAAUCAAAUCCAUCUCCACUAGUAGUCUAGUAUCCAGACGCGAAGCCAAAAGAUUUAUUCUAUGAGUGCAUCAUUUAAUACAAAAAUCAGUAAAAAGAAUCGAACUUGAAAACUAUGGAUGCAUAAUAUGAUUUUUACCAAUUUAACUAACAAGUUCUGUUGGUUUUAAGCUUAAAAUUUUAAUUUUUUUUUAUUUUUGUGGAUGCAUUUGCACCCUUGUUGACAAUAUGCCUUUGCCCUUGUUAGUAUCUCACAUAUUAGUCUUUUUAGUUUCAUAUUGGUUAGAAUUUCUUAAUCAAAAUUGUAGGUUGUUGUGGAAGAAAAUCAAGUUUUGGACACACUUAACAUUUAAUUUUCCUUCAUUAGUGGAUGAAUGAAUGAAUGGGUGAGGACGUACUCCAACUAGCUCAGUCCAUGAUUCCAUGAAGAAGAAUUAUGUUGCCUUAGUAACUUUUUUUUGUCACAAUUUGGAGUUAAAGAGUUUAAGCACAAAAAUUAGUCCACCAAUUGUUGGGUUAUAUAGUAGACAUCAUUGAAAUGAAUGUGUUAAACUUCAAAAAAUCACUGUUCAUAGAGAGUAAUGCAUAUUCCUCUUUAACUUUUAUAUGAUCAUUAUCGAUUAAUUAGAAAUAAUUUUUGAAAACAUUUCAUCCUUUCACGUGAAAGUUUUGCAUUUUUAUGUAGACCAUCAUGAAAAAUCUUCAUUUGGCCAUUCAUCAUUAAAAAUAUACAAAACAAAAAAUAUGUAUAUAUACAACAAAAGAAAAAUCACAUAUCUUAAAAUCAUACAUUGAAUUUAAAGAAUGACCUAGACAAUGUAAAAGAAUGUUAUGUUUUGCUCAGCGAACCACCAAAUUUUCAUAAAUAAACACGAGAUUGAAUUUAGACAUGGGCAAUUUUCUCUCUUGUGAAUCUCAAUCUUCACAUUCUCGAUCAUUUAAUCCCACAUCCCAUAUAUUAUCUCAUAAAUAGGUCUUGUGAAAUCAAUAAUGUAAGGCAUAUUUUCAUAUUUUCCCACCAAUGAUCAUUCACAAAGUUUUCUUUCACAGUGUCAUCAUUUGUGUAAGUAGUCAACUCUUCACUUAUAACUAUGGCUUGAAGACUCCUUUUAAUAAAAUUUUAUCUCUUAAGCAUCAUAGGCGAUUGAGGAAAAAUUAUGGAUCAUCAACCGAAAGUAAUCUAAUACUAAAAAUUGUUAGACUUAUGUUAUGGAUCAUGGUAAAAUGUUUUAAUUUAUUGCAAGGGCCUUCCCAUGAAUUUCAGUAAUUCUGUUACACUCAUAUGUUUCUUGAUUUUUUUCCACAUUAUUUAUAGCACAAAUAUUCCUCAAAGCUAGAUUGAGAGUAUGAACAACACAUGGUGUCCAACUGAUAUGAAGAAACCUACCCUUGAUAAGGUCUCAAGCAACCAUACAAUUUGGUGCGUUAUUACUUAUACAAUAUUUUGAUCAUCCAUUUGAUGAAUAACUUUUUUCAUAAAUUUACCAAUGAAGAAUUUAUCUUUUAUUUCACUGGAACAAUUCUUAGCCUUAAGAAACACAUGACCACAUCCAAAAGUAUCUAUGAAAUUAAUCCAAGGGUUUCUUAAAGGAUCGCUUCAACUAUCACUCACAAUCAUCACCCCUUUUUCUUUUCAUGUUGAUUUCAGUUUGACAUUGUUUUUCUUUUCUUGUCGUGCUAAAGUCAUCUAAAGCUUAUAUAACCUGGAGGUACAUAGCCAUCAAUUUUGUUGGCAGCAACAAAUUGAUAGGACCAAUGAUGGGAGAACAUCAUAUUUGGACCUGCACUUUUACCAAGUGCGACAAUUCGUACAUGCAAACAGUGUUAUCUUUCCCCGUUAUGAACGAUGAAUGAACUGUUGUGUCAGCAACGAGGAUAGAGAACGACAUCGUUUAAGAAUGGGUUUGUGGGCAAAAAGAAAAAUAACUCAAGACGGCUUUAUUUUAGAGUUAAGCUUAAAAUUUCUGUUUCUUCUUCCUUUCUCUUCCCCGGCGACAGACUCAAAGGUUUUAGGUUUUUGACCGCAAAUCAAUAGCUUCUUCAUCAAACCCAAACUCCUCCUCUGUAUCGAUUGAAAAAUUAAUUCAUAGGAAAUUGGAGACACAAAUGUGAAAAGGACAGAGGGAUGCCAAGUACAUGUAAGUGUGGAGAAGGGUCAUUGAUUAGGAUUUCUGGAACUGAUGAAAAAUUAUGUUUGAAAAACCUUUGAAUUUUGAAAACUCUAAUUCUAGAAUUUACUUCCUUUUAGGGGAAAUCAGAGAGUCUAGAUACAAUAACUAAUAUUUUUCUUUCAAAUUGUGAUUCCUAUAAGCUUCAUUUAUGAUUGUGUGUAAAAACUUCGUAUUUUAGAGAACUAAAGUUUUUACUUUGAACCUUGAGUCUCCCAGAGAAGAGAAAGGAAGAAGAAACAGAUAUCUUAAGCUCUAAUCUAAAACAAAAUCGUUUAGGGUUAAUUUUUUUUUCCCACAAACCCAUUCUUAAACAAUGUCGUUUUCUAUCCUCGUUGCUGACUCAACAGUCCAGUCAUCAUCCGUAACAGGUAGAUAACACUGUUUGCUCCAAUGUAUGAAUUAACAACCUUUUUUUAUAUUUCAGAUAUGCAUAUUUGAUGAAACCAUAGUGAAAGUAUGUAAGCGCAUAGUUCUAAACUUCUAAUGUGCGGGUACGAAUCGUCGCACUAGAUAAAAGUGCAGGUCCAAAUAUGUCGUUUUUUGGACCAAUGAUAGCUUGGAUUUCUUACAAAAUUAAAUAGUAUAUGUCCUAUAAAAAACAUUUGCAAUUUCUUGAUCUAACGAAUCUCUAGCUUGAAUUCCAAAUGAUCCAACAAUUGGGAAUGCAAAAUUUCCUUUUCUUAUAACCAUUAUUAACAUGCCAUAGAAACUUCUCUAGAUCCAUAUUCAAUUUUUUUUUUCAGAUUAAUUUUCUAACUUCCGCCUCGCAAACUUUUUAACUAGUAAUUUUUCUCGUCCACAAAGAGAAAUCAUAUGCCCUUUCACUCCAAAUAAAUGCAUGUUGACUCUGGAACAUGAUCUUUGUUUAAUCUCAUUACAAACAUUUUAUUUAGAUUUCUAAUUCCUCCUGUUACUCAUAGCUUCUCCAAUUUAAUUACAUAACUAGAACUUGACUCGCACGCCCGUGCAGUUGUUAAUUUUCACAUUUUUUAUAAAUUGUUUAAAGAAAAUUUUAAACACAUAAGUUAUCCUAUUUUUAGGUUUCUACAAAUUUAUUUGGACCCAGAAGGAUCUGAAUCCGAAUUCCAUCCAAAUAUUUACAAUAUCCGAAUACAAUUUAGUUAGAUUAUUUGUUAACAGUAGACUCAACUUGGGGUUCAAAGCGUCUGUUAAUAGAAGGACUAUCGUCUUCUUCAUGCUGGGGUGAAGAAUUUAGGUCCAUCGCAAUAGCAGAUAAUCAAUGGUAAAAGCAAUACAAAAUCCCAAAUUAGAUUAUCUGCAAAGCGUAAAUAGAAUUUGGAAAUACACAAAUUAUCAAAGGUAAGGGAAUAUGUCGAUCUUUUUUUGUUUCUAUGAUUUAUAUUGAGCAACCAAACAUAAGAAGGUGAACGAACGAACCACCAAGCAGAGCCCUUUAACAGAAUCUAACCAAUACACAAAUCACUAACUAUCAGAAUGAAUAAAGACGGCGUGUUACAUAAUAUAUGCUAUUCAAUCCACAAAUUUGAUUAGAUGGCAAGAGUGAAAUAUGAUAAUUAAUUUCAAUUAAUUGAUGAUCUAUUUUUAAUGAAUAAUACAAUCAAUUUGAUUUACCUUAGAGGUUUAUAUUAUGUAGAUACAUACGUGAGAUGCACUAAUGGAGAAUAAGUGUAAGGUAAUAUCUAAAACCGGUUGGAUGUAAAUUAUGGUUAUAAACUAUUAAAUGUUAGUAUCAUUUAUGGGAUCUUUUUCUUAACUGAUUGUUUACUUUUAAGGAAAGUCUUAUUAAUAUUGGAGUAUUAAUUGCCGUAACAAACUAAUCACUGUUUUCGAUAAAAAUUAAAAACGUCUUUAAUAAAAUAAACAAAUGAUUGUUUAAAUUUCAGUGGUACAAGUUGGUAAAUACUAAGAUGAAGUAAGGGUGAUUCUCCAAAUGUAGUUCAGUUUUAAUAGAUUGGAUUCUAUAAUGGAGGUUAUGAUAUUCCAAGUCCACAAAUACUUCAAAUAAUUUUAAUUUCUUUCUAUACCAAUUUUUUAUAUGUUCAAAGCCUAUGUUACAUCUAUAAGCCUUUCUUGAGGGUGCCAAUAGUUAGACCAAAACAUCACGGAUUGAGCAUUAUGUAAUUCUAUAUACGAAUAAAUUGUGUUGCAAAUGGCAUUAGUUUAAGAAGUUUUCUCAAAACCCAUGAUUCAUCUAAGGUUUCUCUACAUCCCAGAAAGAAACUUAUGUCAGCAAUUUUAAUUUUUUUUGCAACACAUUUAGGUAAAAAAUGGGUUAUAUAUUCCCUUUUUCUCGUACGAUUAUAAAACCCAUUAGCAGAAAAAUGCCAUAUCAUUCUUUUAGUUAGUUAUUUAUCAUUAAUAAAGAAGUAGAAGUAAGCUCGUUUUAUAAAAAAAAAGAAUAAAUAGAAGCUAAUGCAAUUUUCUUAAUACAAAUUGAUAUCAUGAUUAAUUAAAAUUAUUUGAAUAAAUACGUAAAUAAAAUAUCCUACUAUAUAAAAGGAGCUACUUUUAAAAUGUUUAAAGAGUGCCACGUCAGACGAAAUAUUCCUGACCAAUCAUAUUGACAUGUCAUCACGGAUUGGCCAAUAAAGAAAUAACUUGGAAAGAGCAGAUCAUGUGUUUUCUUAUCGAGCAGCAGAUCACGUGCUUCAGUCCAAUAAUUAAGUUAAUCUUCACAGCCCAGCUUUACCAAACACUCAUGACCCAAACAAAAUACUACUGACCCAACCUAAUUUUAUUAAAUAAAAUUUGUUUUUCACCAAGCAAUAUAUAAUACAAUCAUUUUUUGUAGAUCUAAAGUGGUACGUCUAACUAUAUGGGACAACGAGAUGGCUAAUUUUAAGGAGUUAAAUCGCAUAUCUACCAGGAAAAA